AUCUAAGAGCUAGUGGGGGAAUAUUACAUUCUACUUGUAAUGAUAUAAUAGGAGUAGACCUAAAAGCGCCUGUUAUGAUCCUUAAGCAUUUAUUUUGUAUUUUUUAUAAUUUAUUCACUAAUGUAAUUACUCCACCAUAACAAAAGAAGGCAUACUGAAAAUGGCUACGGACUAAUGACUUAUAUAGUGUUAGCAAGAUGCAUGGGUCUGCACCCCAAUAUGUACCAGCUAAUGAUUUCAGAAUAUUGCAGGCCUUUAAUGCUCGAUUUUCUAAUAUUUCAACAUAUUUGUGCCAUCUAAAAUUACUUAAAAACGUAACUCCUAAAAACUUUAUUGAAUUAUCUAUUGAAAUUUCUUGAGUACCAUAAUAUAUUUUUGCAUCUCUUAUUCUUAUAGAAUGCUUUGAAAAUAUUACUACUUUGCUUUUGUCAAUACUGACCUCACGACUAAGAAAUUGAAAAUAAAGCUCAAAUUUUUUGAGUGCUACAUUAAGAUCUAACACAACAUUUGAUAAAUUAAGUCCUGAACUAUACACUACUAGAUCAUCAGCAAAUUGGUGGUUAGAAACUCUAUUACCCAAAACCAUAUUUAUUUGAUUUAUGUAGAUUAUAAAGAGCAAUGGACUCACAAUUCCGCCCUGCGAUACGCCUCUAUAUGAAUAUCGAGGACCUAUUAAUUAGUUAUUAACUCUAAGAUAAAGUUAACGACCACGCAAGAAAUUGAAUAUCCAACUAACUAUUUUUUCAGGGACAUUUAAGGAUAGAUGGAUGAUAAUUGUUCUAAAUCAACAUUAUUAAAUGCUCCUACAACAUCCAAAAAAACACCAGUCUUAAAAAACACCAAUAUCUUAUUGUCAAUCUGGGCACUAUGGAUGUCAAGACAUAAAUGCCGUAUACUCUCACAAGCAGAACGACCACAUCGAAAUCCAAAUUGAUUUUUAGAUUACUGUGUGGAGGAAUGUUGGAUGGAAUUGAAGAAGAUUCAGUUUCCGACACUACCAUGGAAAAUUUUGUGAUUGCAGGCAAGUGAUAGCUGCCCAAAGAGUCCUGAUGAACUUGCCAUUCACAGCACAGGAAUAAUGAAGAUGAUACUAUUGUUAGAUCUAGUCCAUUUGGUCUCCAAGAAUUAGUACCCACUGUAUCUGGUUGAUCAUUAUUAUAGAGCAUUAAGUCAUUAUCGUCCAUUACAUCCAUGAUGUCUCUACCUCUAGAAUUGGUUCUAUUACAACCCCAAAUGGUAUGGUGAGCAUUAAAAUCACCAGCAAUUAUUAGUGGUUUUGGAAUACUAUGCAACACUCUAUUAAAUUUAGAUUUAUCAAAGUUAGGUACACUGUUGCCAGGACUAUAAAAGCUAACAAUUGAGAUGUCUUUUUGUUUGUAUUUAAUUUUGAUUGCUACAUUUUGCAAGGAGUUAUCAGAAAAUGUUUGUAACUUUUGAAAAGAAAUGCCAUUUCUAACAAAAAUUGCUACACCAUUGUGAUCAUUACCACAAUCAUUUCUUAGUAUUGUAUAACCUCAGAUAGAAAACUGUAUAUUUGGUUUAAGCCAAGCUUCUGAUAUAAGUGCUAUGUGUAUGUCCUGCUCAUAAAGUAGGUUUUGAAGCUAAAGUCUGUUACUCAACAGACUUUGUGCAUUCCACUGUACUAUGUUAAGUUUGUGACAGUUGAAUGUGACGUUUUAUUUUAAAUUUGUAUGGUAUCUUUAAUAGCUGAACUAAUUGCGUGUGAGCUAAUGCUUUGAUUCUGUGUUUUAUUUAGUGUAAUGACUUUUAUUAUUGAUUCUGUGAUUAGGUUCAUUGCUGCUGGAUUGGAUAAAAUUAAAUUAAUGAUGUCUUGUGUGUUCUCUGUCUUAUUGAGUGAUGGAAAGUUUGUUGGAUGUUUAAAUAAAUCUGAUAAUGGUGUUUUACUUUUAUUUUUACUAUCCAAUAUCUUUUUUUGUUUUAUAGGGCAUUGACCUGAUACUGCAAGAUGGUUACCUUUACAGUGCACACAUACUGCUUUGUCAAUAGAAUUUAGCCAAGUGGUCAAACCUAAGGCAUCGGAAACACUGCUUAACUGGCGGCACAUAAGGUCGCACUGGUAGACGCCACAUCUUUAAGUGAACGUAAUCUGGGAGUGAAGUAGAUGACGCAAAAGUAAUAAUGACUGCCUGUGUAGGUUGUAAU